rnacentral:rRNA from 1 species
ACGGAAGGCAGCAGUGGGGGAUAUUGGACAAUGGGGGAAACCCUGAUCCAGCGACGCCGCGUGAGUGAAGAAGUAUUUCGGUAUGUAAAGCUCUAUCAGCAAGGAAGAAAAUGACGGUACUUGACUAAGAAGCUCCGGCUAAAUACGUGCCAGCAGCCGCGGUAAUACGUAUGGAGCAAGCGUUAUCCGGAUUUACUGGGUGUAAAGGGAGCGUAGACGGCGAAGCAAGUCUGAAGUGAAAUGCCGGGGCUUAACCCCGGAACUGCUUUGGAGACUGUUUGCUAGAGUGCAGGAGAGGUAAGCGGAAUUCCUAGUGUAGCGGUGAAAUGCGUAGAUAUUAGGAGGAACACCAGUGGCGAAGGCGGCUUACUGGACUGUAACUGACGUUGAGGCUCGAAAGCGUGGGGAGCAAACAGGAUUAGAUACCCUGGUA